GAUGAACGCUGGCGGCGUGCCUAAUACAUGCAAGUCGAGCGGACCAAAGAGAGCUUGCUCUCUGAGGUUAGCGGCGGACGGGUGAGUAACACGUGGGUAACCUGCCUGUAAGACGGGGAUAACUUCGGGAAACCGAAGCUAAUACCGGAUGAUAAAGAGAAACGCCUGUUUCUUUUUUGAAAGUCGGCCUUGUGCUGACGCUUACAGAUGGGCCCGCGGCGCAUUAGCUAGUUGGUGAGGUAACGGCCCACCAAGGCGACGAUGCGUAGCCGACCUGAGAGGGUGAUCGGCCACACUGGGACUGAGACACGGCCCAGACUCCUACGGGAGGCAGCAGUAGGGAAUCUUCGGCAAUGGACGAAAGUCUGACCGAGCAACGCCGCGUGAGCGAUGAAGGCCUUCGGGUCGUAAAGCUCUGUUGUCAGAGAAGAACAAGUACCGGAGUAACUGCCGGUACCUUGACGGUACCUGACCAGAAAGCCACGGCUAACUACGUGCCAGCAGCCGCGGUAACAC
rnacentral:rRNA from 1 species